ACGCACCAGACACACCCUGGGUGCCGCCGAGGAGGCGCCAGUGCUGGCACCGGUGACGGCGACCGGUGCUGUGGCUCGUUUGGCUUGUGGCGCCGGCGGCGGCGUCGUCGUCGACAAAGAUGACGUUGGCGGUGCAGAGGCCUCGGUGGGCACUGGCGAUUGACACAUUGAUGAGGCCUCGGUGGGUGCAUAGACGAGAGAUGCGUGCGUCGCGCGCGGACGCUUGCACGGCGCAUGUGCGACGGCCGCGAACCGCGCCAGGAGAGCCGACUUGCGCUUCAUCGGCAAAAAAAAGCGAGAGAGCGGCACCGGGCAGACAACAGCGGCAACAAAAAAAGGGAGGGUGGUGGUUGGCGAGGGGGAGGGGGCGGCAACGACCACAACCAAAAAUGCGGCGGGCGUCUGUCGUGUCCCGGUCUCUCUUUCCCCCCUCUCCUUUUUGAGUUGUUUUUCUUUUCGUCUGGCA
rnacentral:lncRNA from 1 species